GAUAAACGCUGGCGGCGUGCAUGAGACAUGCAAGUCGAACGGACGACUCAAGGCUUGCUUCGAGUCGUUAGUGGCGGACGGCUGAGUAACGCGUGGGUGACCUGCCCCGAAGUGGGGAAUAACUGCCCGAAAGGGUGGCUAAUACCGCAUGUGGUGAUGCGUUCAAUCGCAUCAGUAAAGCCGCAAGGCGCUUCGGGAGGGGCCUGCGUCCGAUUAGCUCGUUGGUGGGGUAACGGCUCACCAAGGCGACGAUCGGUAGGUGGUCUGAGAGGACGAUCACCCAGACUGGGACUGAGACACGGCCCAGACUCCUACGGGAGGCAGCAGUCGGGAAUUUUGCGCAAUGGACGAAAGUCUGACGCAGCAACGCCGCGUGAGGGAUGAAGGCCUUCGGGUUGUAAACCUCUUUUGUCAGGGACGAUGAUGACGGUACCUGACGAAUAAGCCACGGCUAACUACGUGCCAGCCGCCGCAGUAA
rnacentral:rRNA from 1 species